AGCAAAGUGGGUUGAAGGGUUCAUCGUUGCUGCUGCUGUGACUCAGACAAGAUUCAGGCCCUGGCCCAGGAGCUUCCAUAGGCCAGAGUUGCAAAAAAAAAAAAAAAAAAUUGAACCUUGGAAUUUGGCUUCUUUUGAAAAUCUGGAAAAUUCAGCAACAAUGGGCUGGAAUUCUAUAGGCAAAAACAAGCGGAUCCAGGGUGGCUGCCGCUCCCCUGAAGCGGCAAGCAGCUUCUAGUGUGCCAUACUCCCCACCGUUCUCCACCGUCUCCCUGUUCUUAGACCAGGCCUGGUUCCCUCCCCGCCAGUUUCUGCCCAUCCCUGCAGGUCUCUGAAUACGCCGCUGUGCCCCAGGCCACGUGGAACUCAUUUCCUAAGGAACAAGUCACCUCCUCUAGGAAGCCUUCCCUGAAGCCUUCUCCCCAGCCCUCACCACGGUUAGGUGCCUGAUCUGUGCCCCGCGGUUACCUGUGUGAUGCUCCUUCCAGAUUAUGAGCUCCCUGAGGUCAAGGGCAUCCCUGUGGUGGCCUUAUGCUGGGAGCUGGCAGAGACAGGGCUAGUCAGCCAACUGCCUGAGCAGAUGAGCAGGUGGCUUCCUUCCUUCUGAGCAUCCGAGAGCCGAGUGUCAUCACAGGCAUCUGGCUCCUGUAAACCUGAUCUGUCCUAGGCGCCCAGGCACGGGGACCAACCUGUCCCGGGAGCCAUGGGGGGAUGGGGAGAAAAGCAGGUGUCUGAGGCUCCAGGCCUUGGAACCCCGGCCAGGCCUCACCAUCCGUUCCUCCCUAGAUCCCAGGCCCUAGCAUGCGGGGCCCUCUGUAACUUCACCUGGUGGUGGGGGGGGGGGGGGAACCGCUGCCCAGCCCCCAAACGCCAGAGCUCUGUCUGGGUGGCAGUGCCAGGCCACAGAGAACUUCCUUCUAGAGAACCACUUCCCAGAAUGAAAUGCCCUCUCCCCACAAACCCAGCCUGAGCCAGCCCUGUCUGUGGCCGGUCUAACUGAACCCUAACAGACAAGCACCCCUGUGCCCACACGGGCCAGCCACGCUCUGCGCCUGUGCUAAGCAGCCUCCAGAGCCCAAGGGUGGCGUCCUAAGCAGAGCGGCAGAGCACACGGGGGCGGGGGGGGGGGGCUGCACCGACAGCAGCAAGGGGUCUGGGGAGUCUGGGCGGGGCCCCCAUCACCCAGGGGUUCCCCACUGCCAGCAGGACUAAAUCCAGUCUCCCUAACACAGCCCAUGAGGUUGCCCCAGAGCCCACCAGCCACCCUCUGCUUCUCAUGUCCCCAUGACCCCCCGGCUCUUGUUCGUGUUCUCCAAACUGUCCAAGCCGCUGCCUGGAACAUCCUCUCGGGCCCACUUCCCUGAUUCCACUCAGAGACUCCUCCCCAAGCCACAGGCUUCAGGACCCUUCCCACCCCCUGAAUGAAUGAAUGAAUGAAUGAACAAUACAUGGAAGGCCUCACGGACACAGGCCCAGGGAAUCCGGUCAGGACCUUCCAGUGUCCUGGGAAGAGUACCUCCAAAGUGAGUGGCUCUGUCCACAGAGCAGAUGCAGCUCCCUGGGAGCAAGGGACCCCCAGGGCACCCCAAGUCAGGCCUGAGCAGUCAGCUAUCACAUGCCCCUGUGACUCCCAUGGGGGGUCAAAUAGCGAGGGCGGUGUCUCUUUUCUUCCUCCUUUUUUGCUCCCAGAAAGGUCAGGCUUGACCCUAGGGAUCCCUGAUUACAACCACACCUGAGCAAGGGCCCCGGAAGGGGAACUGGGAGGGCCUUUUCCUGCCCUCUGGGCCUGGCAGAGGGUGUCUGACCAGGGGUCUGGGCUAAGCUGGCCUGACCGCUGACCUCGGGCAGACACCGAGAGCCUUGAUUCUCUGGCCUCUAAGUGGUGCUGAAAGGGCCCCCCGCCCAGAGCUGCGGUGGAGGGGCAGGGAGGUGGGCCCACAGAGGAUGCGCCCUCUGGGCCGGCAGGCAGGGCAGGUGCUGAGUGAAGAGUGGCCAGAGGGGAGGGGCAGGCCUUGGGGGAGGCUUACCUGGGGCUCCGCAUGUCCGCGGAGAAGGCGGCAGGCCCGGGGGCCCACAUGCCUCAGGGAGGCACUCCCCCAGGGGCUCUAGACAGCAGCCAGCCAGGCUGCCGGGGACAAGCCCCACACUCCCGCUAGGAGGGGGAGAAGCAGGCCUGGCGGUGGCCAAUGCCAGACCACAGAGACGCUGUGCGGCUGGGCCUGGGGACUCUGCACUUCUCUGAGAGAGAAGGGACAGGCUCUGGGGGCCACUGGCCCAGCUGGUGCCCCCAAGCCCACCCUUGGGACCCACUUCUCCAAGCUGAGGGGAUGCUCUAUUCAUAAUAUUAUUCAUAACAGUGACAGUCACUGGGAGCCUGUCCCUUGGGGACCUGCAGAGGGAAUGCAUAUGCUAUAGCUGCUUUGGUCUGCGCAGCAGCCCAGGAGGUAGGUGCUACUGCACCCAUCUUACAGCUGACAGAGCAGAAGCUAAGAGAGGGUAAGUGGCCUGCCUGGGGUCACAGAGCGGUGCCUUCUCAACAUGCCAGAAGCACUGUCCAGACCCUGUCAGGAGCAGGAGGCUGGGCCAGCAGGUGGGAGGCAAGGUUCCACUUAAAAGGCUUGUUUGGGCAGAGGGUGAGCCUGCUGGGGGCUGGGCACCUGGCUUCACUGCAGAGGAGCCCCUGACAGCUGUUCAGAAUAUUUUGAUAAAAACAUGUUGAACACCUGGUGUGUGUUUGGAUUAAAAGCAGCUGGCCCGGCCCCUUUCCAGUGCUCGCCAAUGGCCAAAUCCCCUGAGAAGUCCGCCUGUGCCCCACCCAGGCCCACAGGGACCAGGGUGGGGCACUGACUCCCCACCUCCCCCUGAAAUGCCACCCAUCGCUCCCCUCUGGAGGCUGUACCGGAUCACGAAACCCGGCGGCUAGAGCAGCGGGUCCUGAGCCUGCACACCCAGGCUCUGGUUCUCACGGGUGGCCCAGGAGAGGACAUGGGGGCCAAGGGCGUGAACAGUCCCACUCACUGGAGGCCUGCGGUCGUCUCCACCAGGCAAGACUUGGGUGCCUGGGUCGGGGGAUCUUGCUGAUGACGGGGAUGCCAAGCUGUCCUGGGAGGUGACUCCCCUCCCUGAUGAGGCUCAGAGCCUGCUGCAGAGCGGGGCUUGUGCCCAGAGCCUCCGGGGAGGGAUGUGUCCUGAGGGAUGGGCUGGGCCAGGCCUCCCCGCGUGGGCGUGACGCUCUCCUUCCGGGGCGCAUGCAGCCUGAGCUCAGAAGCGCAGUUUCAUCAGCUCCAAGGCCUCCAGGGCUCCCGUGGGCUUCUGGUCUACCAGCCUCCACCUACUUUGCUAUGCCCAUUCCACUUAAAGUGGGUCAAAACUGGCACUUCACAAACCAGGCAGUCCAGGGGCCACAGGGAGCUCAAAAGUACCACCAGUUCCAGCCACCAGGGAGAUGCAAAUGAAGGGGGCCCUGGGGUGCGGGAUGGGGGACCGUCACUCCCCUCCCCGGCAGCCUGCUGGGCGCCUUCCUCCUUCACUCAGCCCGGCCCAGGGCCCUCGCAGAGGAAGGGGCUGAGUCGAACCACCUGCAGGGCCAGGGCUCCCAUGUGCUACGAGGGUCCCUCCAAGAUAGCAAAGGGGGACCCAGGGCCCCCACGUGGAGAGGACACCAUCCUAAGGAGGCAGCUGUCCCCCUUAAACAAGGCGGUAGUUGAAACACUUAAUGUCAGGCACUGAGUGCCAAUGUACUGGGUUCUGAGGGUCCCGAGGUCAUCGCCUGACACUAACCACGAUCGGGAGCCUCCGGCACUAACGGGCAGAGGGAGGAGCUGCAUCCAGCGUGCUCAGGACCAGCUCCUGGCAUCAGCUGCCCUCCCGGAGCUUGGCGGCUCCUCACACACACAGGGAGGUAAGGAGACCUUCCUGGGCCCUCCAGGGUCGGCGGGGGCCACAGUGCGGAGGACCUGGAGGGAACACUUGGCACAGGGGCCCUGGGCAGCUGCGGCCGGAGUCCAAAUCCCACCGGGGCAGGGGACUUCCCCUUGUCCCCGUGAGGACCAAACAGGACGGUGUGCGCUGGUCAGGCUGCCCUGGGGAAGCCCGUGUGAGCUCGGGGUGACGAGGCAGCAGUGCUGAUGGCCAUCAGAGGUGAGAGGCCAGGCGGCAAAAGAGGACCCAAUGGUCCCAGGUAGACAUCGAGACAUGCUUCCAAGAGACGGCUCGCUGAAAGGGACGCAUCUGUUCACAGGGACUGUUCCCAGAAGGGUGCGUCUCACUGGCGGCCCCCCUGCCUCUGGGACAGCCUCCCCUCGCCCUGAGCAUGACUCCUCAGUGGCCUGUUUGGCAUCGUCACCCCGCCCGGGGCGCGGCCCCUUUCUGUCCUCCCAGCCCCUCACCAACGAUAAUAUUAUGUUGGAGGGUCAUCUGGCUACAGAUUGUAAGUUCCAGCAAAAGAAUUAAGUUCUCCUAUUCCUAGAAAUCUUCCUAAAGAUAAAUUCCAAAGGGAGCUCAUCUAGAGUCUGAUAUGGGGAAGACUGUCAAUAAAUGUUAGCUGCACUGAAGGUCAAGAGUUAUGGGCACAAGAGAGAUGCUCACAACCGCAUCAUUCGCAGCAAGGAGCCAGUCCGCAUCAUCCGGCCACGGAGGAGCCACGCAGUUCGGGUUUUCCUGCUCUGUAAAGUGAGACGCGGCUGCGAACAACGAGAGCUGCGGAGACAGGAUGCCUCACGCUCAGUCAGGAGGAAACUUCACGGAAGGACAGUGAUCUUGGACCUCAGGACGGGCGAGAUCUUUUCCAUCUGGGACAGGGAUCCCAGUCUCUGCAAAGAGGUGAGUGACGGCAUUUGCUAAAAACCACAGUGCUUUCUUGGACACACUGUGGAUGGGCGCAGCCAAUGCCCAUGAGCCCAUUCUGCCCCUCGAUUUGGGCAGGUUUAUGAUCUGGCCUCUGUUCUAUGGACAAGGAAGCGGGCUCAGAAAGGGGCCGUGAACCCCUCAGUCCCAGAGCAGGCAAGUGGCUGUGCUGAGCUUUGGACCCACUUUGUCUCGUGGUCCAGGCUCUCCCCCUUUCCCGCUGUCACUGGGUGCAUCCUGCCCACCGUGCAGACUAGGGGAGUCCUGGGGAGACGAAAUGGACACCACCCCACCCCCCCUACCGCUCCCAGCCUGGGGCCAGGGUGUGAGAGUCCCCCAACGCCGGCACGAAGUGGCUGCCCCUGUGAGGCCUGGAGAUGCCCGCCCUCCCCAGUGCCCACAUCACACCUUGACUCAGAAUUCUGAGCCAGGAAAAGUUCUCUUGGCCCUGAUGGUGGCUUUGGAGCAUAAGAACCAUCCCCCUGACUGUGUGUGUCCUGCACGCCCUUGCCCCCAGGAAAGGCAAGGAAGGCCAAGCCCAGAGCCCGCUGGCGCCGGCCCCCGCCAUGGGGAAGAGGUGGGUGUAUAAAUACAUAGAUGGAUCGUUAAUGAGGCCUGGGCUUUUCGAACAUCACAGGCAUAAAAAGGAAUGCCAACAAGGACAUCCAGCUGCAGCAAAUCCCGCAUGGAAGGUUCCAGCAUGUCCCCAUGGCCGCCCAUGGGCACCUCCAUCUCUGGCAGCCUGGGGCCUUUUCUGUGCACGGACCACAGCCAGUGCUUAUUCUGCCCCCUCCACCCCAAGUGCCCAUAUUCCAUCCUCUCCCAGUUCCGUUUCAUGUGCAUUUGGAAGGACAGACAGACGGAGACAGAGAAUGUUGUGUGCGUGCACGAAUGAGCCGUUCAUGCUAUUCUUCGGAAAGAAUGAUGGAUUAAAAACCUGCAAAGCCA